rnacentral:rRNA from 1 species
UACAGAGGUGGCAAGCGUUGUUCGGAUUCAUUGGGCGUAAAGGGCGCGUAGGCUGCGGGGCAAGUCGGGUGUGAAAUCUCAGAGCUCAACUCUGAAACUGCACUCGAUACUGCUUUGCUUGAGGACUGGAGAGGAGAUUGGAAUUCACGGUGUAGCAGUGAAAUGCGUAGAUAUUGGGAGGAACACCAGUGGCGAAGGCGGCUCGCUGGACCGGAACUGACGCUGAGGCGCGAAAGCGUGGGGAUCAAACAGG